rnacentral:rRNA from 1 species
UACGAAGGGGCUAGCGUUGUUCGGAAUCACUGGGCGUAAAGGGCGCGUAGGCGGCUUUGUAAGUUAGAGGUGAAAGCCCAGGGCUUAACCCUGGAAUUGCCUUUAAGACUGCAUCGCUAGAAUUGUGGAGAGGAUAAGUGGAAUCCGAGUGUAGAGGUGAAAUUCGUAGAUAUUCGGAAGAACAUCCAGUGGCGAAGGACGACUUAC